GGAAGUGCCUGCCCAGAUGGGCUUAUUGCUCUAGGGCCACUCCUACUCCCUUCACACUGUGCAUUUAAGAUCUCGGCAUUUACUAUCUCCCUGAGACAGGUAGAUAUGCAGCUUUUUCUCUAAGAAAUAGACAAGUGCCAACCUAUCCUUCUCCAGUGUAAUCUGGCCCAAGCAUCUAAAGGCUCAACUAAGGACCGCGGCCCGGGAAUCUCCCGGCCCUAGCCGGGAGAUUCACAAGUGCCCAAAUUCACAAGUUUCAGAAGCGCCCGCAUCACUGCCUCCUGCACUCCUCUGCAAAUGCCCUGGCACACCCGCGACCACGUACCCCUGAGUUUCCUAGCUUAGUUCGCCCCUUUUCCUCCAAGUCAGCAGCCCAGUGAGCAUUCCAGGGUCAGUCCUGGUGCUCACAGUAAGGGCAAUCUCCCACCUCUCCCUGCUGGAUCACAAAGAGGAGCUAGGACAUUUGCCGUUUUCCCCCACAACCCGCACCCUGCGCUGGCCCAGAGCGCAGCGCCCACCUGUGCCACGGCUAGAUGAAGAGUCCCUCACCGCGCGCUGCCUGGGCGCACGGCUGGUGUGCCGCGCUCACCACCUCUACUGGACUCAAGGGUGCUCCCGGCUCACGCUUCUCCGGGCUUCCUGCGUCCGGGUUCCCUCUCCCCCUACUCGCUUUCUUCCUUCAUUCGCUCUUCUCUCAAUUUUUCCUCCUGUCCUUACCCCAUCAACUCUAACAUUUAAUCAAUUCCCGGGCUCCUCCUCCCUGGGCUUCUCUUAGCUCGGUUCCAGCGACCCCGCUAUCCGUCCCGGCUCGCAUUUCUGCACCGCACUGCCCUUCACUCCAGCACGCAGCAGGCCCGGCGCUCCGACCGCGCGGGAAGCCCCCUUCGGAACCGCUGGCGCAGUUUUCAGACUCGCCCGCAGCCCAGAGACCAGGUGCCCACAUCCAGCUCUGCUCUCGCCUUCUCCCUUGAAAGAGACUCCUUGGGGGCUCCCCAGGCCAGAGUUCCCCGCCCGGGGAAUCAUGCUGGUCUCUGGGGUGACCCAGCUGUCAGAGAGGACAGGUCUAUUUUAAGCCUUCCACCCAGUGUCCCAGUCCUGAGGACGCGGGCGCGGGCCCAGGGACUUGGGUAACACCUUGCCAGCACGAUCCCAAGCGGUGGUGGAGCCAGCUCCCCCGGCGGGAGUCCGGCCUUUCAGCCAGGCAGGCGGCGCGGCCACGGAACACAGUCUCAAUACAACCAACUCGAAAUGCAAGAGCCCAGGGAAUCCCAGGGCGGUGGGCGGAGGUGCCCCAUGCCCCAGCCCCCUGGGAAUAGGCUACCUUGGCACAACCGCUUUUCCUUGAAAAGAAGUCACACAUGAGCCCGCCCAAUCAAUCUCUUCCCUCCGUGUGCCCUAGUUUACGUUAUUUCUAGUCAACCGAGUCAUUAGCCUGCAAUAACCCACCCAAAGCGUGACUCUUUGGAAAAUAAUAAGAAUUAGGAACUAUGAGCACGUCAUGAAGAGGCCGACAUCAGCCCCAGACGAUUGAGAGACCGGGCUACACACGUGUGAGUGUCCCCCGUGCAUACACACAAGCACCCAUCCCAUAGACUGAGAUCCAGCUGCAAAUUUGGACAUUGACGCGUCUCUAAGUCUAAC
ensembl:lncRNA